UGGCGGACGGGUGAGUAACGCGUGGAAAACCUGCCGUAUACUGGGGGAUAACACUUAGAAAUAGGUGCUAAUACCGCAUAAGCGCGCAGCUUCGCAUGAAGCGGUGUGAAAAACUCUGGUGGUAUACGAUGGUUCCGCGUCUGAUUAGCUAGUUGGUGGGGUAAUGGCCUACCAAGGCAACGAUCAGUAGCCGGCCUGAGAGGGUGAACGGCCACAUUGGGACUGAGACACGGCCCAAACUCCUACGGGAGGCAGCAG
rnacentral:rRNA from 1 species